UAGGGAAUCUUCGGCAAUGGACGGAAGUCUGACCGAGCAACGCCGCGUGAGUGAAGAAGGUUUUCGGAUCGUAAAGCUCUGUUGUAAGAGAAGAACGAGUGUGAGAGUGGAAAGUUCACACUGUGACGGUAUCUUACCAGAAAGGGACGGCUAACUACGUGCCAGCAGCCGCGGUAAUACGUAGGUCCCGAGCGUUGUCCGGAUUUAUUGGGCGUAAAGCGAGCGCAGGCGGUUAGAUAAGUCUGAAGUUAAAGGCUGUGGCUUAACCAUAGUACGCUUUGGAAACUGUUUAACUUGAGUGCAGAAGGGGAGAGUGGAAUUCCAUGUGUAGCGGUGAAAUGCGUAGAUAUAUGGAGGAACACCGGUGGCGAAAGCGGCUCUCUGGUCUGUAACUGACGCUGAGGCUCGAAAGCGUGGGGAGCAAACAGGAUUAGAUACCCUGGUAGUCCACGCCGUANACGAUGAGUGCUAGGUGUUGGGUCCUUUCCGGGACUCAGUGCCGCAGCUAACGCAUUAAGCACUCCGCCUGGNGAGUACGACCGCAAGUUUG
rnacentral:rRNA from 1 species